UUGUUUGAAGUAAGAUGACUGCCCAUAUGUUUUCAUUACCAGUGUAACAGUUCCUGGCUGGAACCUAGCUUAAUACUUUUAAGCAAUGCAUCUGAAAUGUAGGUCCAAAGUUUAACUGUAACUAGUGACUAGCCCUAAGUGGAAUCUUACUUAUGGGCUGUCUGGUUAGACUUCUGCUUUUAGGUGCAACCGGCUGUCAACACAGACUGACAGGGUUUGUCUCCUCAUUCCAAACUGGGUUUUCUCUAGGAAAUGGGAUCUCUUGCCUUGAAACGCAUCUGGCUGAGAGAGUACAGAGCAAUGACAUUAACCAGAUGGUACUGGAAUUAAACAGUUGUCAUAUACCGACCUUCUGGGCAAAAAUGGGUCUUGGGCAUUCCCUGGCAAUCCAGUGGUUAGGACUCUACACUUUUACUGCUGAGGGCCGAGAUUCAAUCCCUGGUGGGGGACCUAAGAUCCCGAAAGCCUCAAGCAACACAGGCAUCAUGGCAUGAGGAUAAUAAAUCAGUGCAUGGAAAAGCCCACAUGGGGAGGAACUGAGCCUUCUGCCUACAACCAGCAUCAUGUAAAUAUGCCAUCCUGGAAGCUAUUGUGGACUGAAAGUUUGUGUCCCCCAAAUUCACAUACUGAAGCCCUAACUCCCCUCACAGCAUGGCCACAUUUGGAGAUGAAACCUCUAAGGAAAAAGGCCAUGUGAAGUCAUAGUAAGGAGGUGCCAUCUGCAAGCAAGGAAGAGAGCCUUCAGAAGAAAUCCAUUUGCUGGCACCUUGAUCAUGAAUUUCCAACCUCCAAAACCAUGAAAA